rnacentral:rRNA from 1 species
CGUAGGGGGCAAGCGUUGUCCGGAAUUAUUGGGCGUAAAGGGCGCGUAGGCGGGUAUUUAAGUCUGGUGUGAAAGAUCAGGGCUCAACCCUGAGAGUGCAUCGGAAACUGGGCAUCUUGAGGACAGGAGAGGAAAGUGGAAUUCCACGUGUAGCGGUGAAAUGCGUAGAUAUGUGGAGGAACACCAGUGGCGAAGGCGACUUUCUGGACUGUAACUGACGCUGAGGCGCGAAAGCGUGGGGAGCAAACAGGAUUAGAUACCCUGGUAGUCCACGCCGUAAACGAUGAGUGCUAGGUGUAGAGGGUAUCGACCCCUUCUGUGCCGCAGUUAACACAAUAAGCACUCCGCCUGGGGAGUACGGCCGCAAGGUUG